GGGUUAGUAGGUUGGUCAUGCCUCUGGUAUGUACUUGUCUCACUGAUUCCUCCUUCCUGAUGAACCUUAAUGCCAUUUAUUUGGUGUUGCGGGGAAUUUGGACUGUUACUUUGAAAAAAUUAGAGUGUUUAAAGCAGGCUAACUCCUGAAUACAUUAGCAUGGAAUAAUGAAAUAGGACGUUCGAUCCUAUUUUGUUGGUUUCUAGGAUUGACGUA
rnacentral:rRNA from 1 species